UUGGGCCUACGGGAGGCAGCAGUCGGGAAUAUUGCGCAAUGGAGGAAACUCUGACGCAGUGACGCCGCGUAUAGGACGAAGGUCUUCGGAUUGUAAACUAUUGUCGUUAGGGAAGAGAAAGGACAGUACCUAAGGAGGAAGCUCCGGCUAACUACGUGCCAGCAGCCGCGGUAAUACGUAGGGAGCAAGCGUUAUCCGGAUUUACUGGGUGUAAAGGGAGCGUAGACGGCAGUGCAAGUCCGGAGUGAAAGCCCGGGGCUCAACCCUGGGACUGCUCUGGAAACUGUAAAGCUGGAGUGCGGGAG
rnacentral:rRNA from 1 species